UCGAACGGAAAGGCCUGCAGCUUGCUGCGGGUACUCGAGUGGCGAACGGGUGAGUAACACGUGGGUGAUCUGCCUUGCACUUCGGGAUAAGCUUGGGAAACUGGGUCUAAUACCGGAUAGGACAGCUGUUUAGUGUCAGUUGUGGAAAGUUUUUUCGGUGCAAGAUGAGCUCGCGGCCUAUCAGCUUGUUGGUGGGGUAAUGGCCUACCAAGGCGUCGACGGGUAGCCGGCCUGAGAGGGUGUACGGCCACAUUGGGACUGAGAUACGGCCCAGACUCCUACGGGAGGCAGCAGUGGGGAAUAUUGCACAAUGGGCGGAAGCCUGAUGCAGCGACGCCGCGUGGGGGAUGAAGGCCUUCGGGUUGUAAACUCCUUUCGACAGGGACGAAGCGUAAGUGACGGUACCUGUAUAAGAAGCACCGGCUAACUACGUGCCAGCAGCCGCGGUAAUACGUAGGGUGCGAGCGUUGUCCGGAAUUACUGGGCGUAAAGAGCUCGUAGGUGGUUUGUCGCGUCGUCUGUGAAAUUCCGGGGCUUAACUCCGGGCGUGCAGGCGAUACGGGCUGACUUGAGUGCUGUAGGGGAGACUGGAAUUCCUGGUGUAGCGGUGAAAUGCGCAGAUAUCAGGAGGAACACCGAUGGCGAAGGCAGGUCUCUGGGCAGUAACUGACGCUGAGGAGCGAAAGCAUGGGUAGCGAACAGGAUUAGAUACCCUGGUAGUCCAUGCCGUAAACGGUGGGCGCUAGGUGUAGGGGGCUUCCACGUCUUCUGUGCCGUAGCUAACGCAUUAAGCGCCCCGCCUGGGGAGUACGCCGCAAGGCUGA
rnacentral:rRNA from 1 species